rnacentral:rRNA from 1 species
UGGCGGACGGGUGAGUAACGCGUGAGUAACCUGCCCUAGAGUGGGGGACAACAGUUGGAAACGACUGCUAAUACCGCAUAAGCCCACGGUACCGCAUGGUACUGAGGAAAAAGGAUUUAUUCGCUUUAGGAUGGACUCGCGUCCAAUUAGCUAGUUGGUGAGGUAACGGCCCACCAAGGCGACGAUUGGUAGCCGGACUGAGAGGCUGAACGGCCACAUUGGGACUGAGACACGGCCCAG